GACGAACGCUGGCGGCGUGCUUAACACAUGCAAGUCGAACGGAAAGGCCCUGCUUUUGUGGGGUUCUCGAUUGGCGCACGGGUGAGUAACACGUGAGUAACCUGCCCUUGACUUUGGGAUAACUUCAGGAAACUGCGGCUAAUACCGGAUAGAAGCUCCUGCUGCAUGGUGGGGGUUGGAAAGUUUCGGCGGUUGGGGAUGGACUGGCGGCUUAUGAGCUUGUUUGUGUGGUAGUGGCUUACCAAGCCUUUGACGGGUAGCCGGCCUGAGAGGGUGACCGGCGACAUGGGGACUGAGAGACGGACCAGACGCCAACGGGAGGCAGCAGUGGGGAAUAUUGCACAAUGGGCCGAAGUCUGAGGCAGAAACGUCGCGUGCGGGAUGACGGCCUUCGGGUUGUAAACCGCUUUCGCCUGUGACGAAGCGUGAGUGACGGUAAUGGGUAAAGAAGCACCGGCUAACUACGUG
rnacentral:rRNA from 1 species